UACGGAGGGGGCUAGCGUUGUUCGGAAUUACUGGGCGUAAAGCGCACGUAGGCGGCUUCUCAAGUCAGAGGUGAAAUCCCCGGGCUCAACCCGGGAACUGCGUCCGAUACUGGCAGGCUUGAAUCCGGGAGAGGGAUGCGGAAUUCCAGGUGUAGCGGUGAAAUGCGUAGAUAUCUGGAGGAACACCGGUGGCGAAGGCGGCAUCCUGGACCGGCAUUGACGCUGAGGCGCGAAAGCCAGGGGAGCAAACGGG
rnacentral:rRNA from 1 species